GAUGAAGAACGUAGCGAAAUGCGAUAAGUAAUGCGAAUUGCAGAAUUCAGUGAAUCAUCGAAUCUUUGAACGCACAUUGCGCCCGCCAGUAUUCUGGCGGGCAUGCCUGUUCGAGCGUCAUUUCAACCAUCAAGCCCCCGGCUUGUGUUGGGGACCUGCGGCUGCCGCAGGCCCCGAAAACCAGUGGCGGGCUCGCUAGUCACUCCGAGCGUAGUAAUACAUCUCGCUCAGGGCGUGCUGCGGGUUCCGGCCGUUAAAAAGCCUUAUUUACCCAAGGUUGACCUCGGAUCAGGUAGGAAGACCCGCUGAACUUAAGCAUAUCAAUAAGCGGAGGA
rnacentral:misc_RNA from 1 species